UAGAGUUUGAUCCUGGCUCAGGACGAACGCUGGCGGCGUGCUUAACACAUGCAAGUCGAACGGAAAGGCCCUGCUUUUGUGGGGUGCUCGAGUGGCGAACGGGUGAGUAACACGUGAGUAACCUGCCCUUGACUUUGGGAUAACUUCAGGAAACUGGGGCUAAUACCGGAUAGGAGCUCCUGCUGCAUGGUGGGGGUUGGAAAGUUUCGGCGGUUGGGGAUGGACUCGCGGCUUAUCAGCUUGUUGGUGGGGUAGUGGCUUACCAAGGCUUUGACGGGUAGCCGGCCUGAGAGGGUGACCGGCCACAUUGGGACUGAGAUACGGCCCAGACUCCUACGGGAGGCAGCAGUGGGGAAUAUUGCACAAUGGGCGGAAGCCUGAUGCAGCAACGCCGCGUGCGGGAUGACGGCCUUCGGGUUGUAAACCGCUUUCGCCUGUGACGAAGCGUGAGUGACGGUAAUGGGUAAAGAAGCACCGGCUAACUACGUGCCAGCAGCCGCGGUGAUACGUAGGGUGCGAGCGUUGUCCGGAUUUAUUGGGCGUAAAGGGCUCGUAGGUGGUUGAUCGCGUCGGAAGUGUAAUCUUGGGGCUUAACCCUGAGCGUGCUUUCGAUACGGGUUGACUUGAGGAAGGUAGGGGAGAAUGGAAUUCCUGGUGGAGCGGUGGAAUGCGCAGAUAUCAGGAGGAACACCAGUGGCGAAGGCGGUUCUCUGGGCCUUUCCUGACGCUGAGGAGCGAAAGCGUGGGGAGCGAACAGGCUUAGAUACCCUGGUAGUCCACGCUGUAAACGGUGGGUACUAGGUGUGGGGUCCAUUCCACGGGUUCCGUGCCGUAGCUAACGCUUUAAGUACCCCGCCUGGGGAGUACGGCCGCAAGGCUAAAACUCAAAGGAAUUGACGGGGCCCCGCACAAGCGGCGGAGCAUGCGGAUUAAUUCGAUGCAACGCGUAGAACCUUACCUGGGUUUGACAUGGAUCGGGAGUGCUCAGAGAUGGGUGUGCCUCUUUUGGGGUCGGUUCACAGGUGGUGCAUGGCUGUCGUCAGCUCGUGUCGUGAGAUGUUGGGUUAAGUCCCGCAACGAGCGCAACCCUUGUUCACUGUUGCCAGCACGUUAUGGUGGGGACUCAGUGGAGACCGCCGGGGUCAACUCGGAGGAAGGUGGGGAUGACGUCAAGUCAUCAUGCCCCUUAUGUCCAGGGCUUCACGCAUGCUACAAUGGCUGGUACAGAGAGUGGCGAGCCUGUGAGGGUGAGCGAAUCUCGGAAAGCCGGUCUCAGUUCGGAUUGGGGUCUGCAGCUCGUCCUCAUGAAGUCGGAGUCGCUAGUAAUCGCAGAUCAGCAACGCUGCGGUGAAUACGUUCCCGGGGCUUGUACACACCGCCCGUCAAGUCAUGAAAGUUGGUAACACCCGAAGCCGGUGGCCUAACCGUUGUGGGGGAGCCGUCGAAGGUGGGACUGGUGAUUAGGACUAAGUCGUAACAAGGUAACCA
rnacentral:rRNA from 1 species